rnacentral:rRNA from 1 species
UGGGGAAUUUUGGACAAUGGGCGAAAGCCUGAUCCAGCCAUGCCGCGUGCAGGAUGAAGGCCUUCGGGUUGUAAACUGCUUUUGUACGGAACGAAAAGCCUCUUUCUAAUAAAGAGGGGUCAUGACGGUACCGUAAGAAUAAGCACCGGCUAACUACGUGCCAGCAGCCGCGGUAAUACGUAGGGUGCAAGCGUUAAUCGGAAUUACUGGGCGUAAAGCGUGCGCAGGCGGUUUUGUAAGACAGAGGUGAAAUCCCCGGGCUCAACCUGGGAACUGCCUUUGUGACUGCAAGGCUGGAGUGCGGCAGAGGGGGAUGGAAUUCCGCGUGUAGCAGUGAAAUGCGUAGAUAUGCGGAGGAACACC